GUCGCAUUGUUUUCCUCCGCCGAUCUGCGGCGGGAAUAGGGGCUUCUACUCAGACCCAAGACUCUCGUAACCCGACAGCGCCUUGGAGCCUAAAUCUAAGCACGAUUCAGACAGGACGCUCGUCGCGUCUUGCCAGAGCCCCAACCACGGAUUGCGAACUCUGCCCGAGCUAGGGGCCGCCUGCUGCUCCCUGGACCUUGCUGACCCGGAUCUCGGAGCAAGUACCUUGGGAUCAGAGGGCCCUAUCCCUCUUCAUCCCCACAGGACCCACCACCCCAGAAGACUUGGAAUGGACAACUGAGGCUUGUUGUGAUCUGUCACAAAAGAAAGGACUCCCUGCCCUGAUUAAUGGAGCCUCUUCAGCCCCUCACUUCGAUUUCAAGGGAAGGCAGGAGGCUG
ensembl:lncRNA